CGUGUAGGCGGCUUCGCCAGUCAGGCGUGAAAGCCCCGGGCUUAACCUGGGAACUGCGCUUGAUACUGUGGAGCUAGAGUUCGGGAGAGGAGGGUGGAAUUCCCAGUGUAGAGGUGAAAUUCGUAGAUAUUGGGAAGAACACCAGUGGCGAAGGCGGCUCUCUGGACCGACACUGACGCUGAGGCGCGAAAGCGUGGGGAGCAAACA
rnacentral:rRNA from 1 species